rnacentral:rRNA from 1 species
UAGGGAAUCUUCGGCAAUGGACGGAANNNUGGACCGAGCAACGCCGCGUGAGUGAAGAAGGUUUUCGGAUCGUAAAGCUCUGUUGUAAGAGAAGAACGAGUGUGAGAGUGGAAAGUUCACACUGUGACGGUAUCUUACCAGAAAGGGACGGCUAACUACGUGCCAGCAGCCGCGGUAAUACGUAGGUCCCGAGCGUUGUCCGGAUUUAUUGGGCGUAAAGCGAGCGCAGGCGGUUAGAUAAGUCUGAAGUUAAAGGCUGUGGCUUAACCAUAGUACGCUUUGGAAACUGUUUAACUUGAGUGCAAGAGGGGAGAGUGGAACUCCAUGUGUAGCGGUGAAAUGCGUAGAUAUAUGGAGGAACACCGGUGGCGAAAGCGGCUCUCUGGCUUGUAACUGACGCUGAGGCUCGAAAGCGUGGGGAGCAAACAGGAUUAGAUACCCUGGUAGUCCACGCCGUAAACGAUGAGUGCUAGGUGUUAGACCCUUUCCGGGGUUUAGUGCCGCAGCUAACGCAUUAAGCACUCCGCCUGGGGAGUACGACCGCAAGNUUG